AGUCAUUUUGCUGGCCCGAACAUAGCCACCUGUAAGCUGGAACUUCCUUACGGCAGCCUGUCACUUCCACGGGACCCACCAGCUUAAAUGCCGGCAGCCCUGGGACUUCUGGCCUCACAAUGGUUGAGAUGACUGGGGUGUGGCAGUGCCAAGCCGAGGCUGUGAAAGGCCUUCCACCUUUACUCUCGUGCUCGUGCCCUCCCCCAUUGUUAGGAGAAGGGCAUGCUCAGGCCAGCCCAUUAGCCCAGGAGGAGGACAAGAAACACACGGAGCAGACACAAGCCACCUCACCAACCCAGCCAAGGCUGUCCUGAAUUAGCAACCCUGACACGUGUGAGCAAGUCCAACGGACACCGGAAGAUCCACCUAGUCAAGCCCAACCAAGACUGGCAGAGCUGCCAAGCUGACCACUUAAGGCGCAUGAGGAAUAAACACUCGUUGCUGCA